rnacentral:misc_RNA from 1 species
CCAAUUCCAGCUAGCACCUGCGAAUUUCUUAAUUUCAUCACCCCACCUAAUCUUCUGCCGUCCUCGACUGCGCUUCCCUUCUCUUGGCUACCAUCCUUGUCCGGUCAGCGAGCCUCCUGCUACCUGCCCCUGAACAUGGGCCACUGCGUCGAAGUGAGCACCAUGUACUUCUACGACAAGUUCGCGGGGACGUGCCGACCUUUCUCCUACGGAGGAGCCGGGGGCAACGACAACCGCUUCGACAGCUUCGGCGACUGCAUGGACACGUGCCACGACGUGGGCUGACAGCUGCGCUGUGCUGGGAGGCGUCGUAGGUGACGCCCUCUCUGCUGGAGAACCGUACGAAUAAAGCGAUCCACC